AGUCGUAACAAGGUUCCGUAGGUGAACCUGCGGAAGGAUCAAUUAAGAGUUUAGGGGUUCCACCAAGGGCCCCCGGAACCUCCAACCUUUGGUUUGUUAAUUAAACCUUAAAAGUUGCUUGGCGGACCGCUCGGUCUGAGCUUGCUGGUCUUCCGGCCCCGGCAAAAGUUGGCCCCGCCCCAGGGUUUUCUCAAAACCUCCUUGGUUUUUAAACCGGUCGUCUGAGUUUAAAUUUUUCGGUAAACCAAAC
rnacentral:misc_RNA from 1 species